GUGUCAGCCGCCGCGGUAAUACGUAUGGGGCAAGCGUUGUUCGGAGUUAUUGGGCGUAAAGGGCGUGUAGGCGGCUCAUCAAGUCUGGUGUGAAAUUGCAGGGCUCAACCCUGCAGGUGCGCUGGAAACUGGUGGGCUAGAGUUCUUGAGGGGAAGCUGGAAUUCCAGGUGUAGGGGUGAAAUCUGUAGAUAUCUGGAAGAACACCGGUGGCGAAGGCGAGCUUCUAUCAGAGGACUGACGCUGAGGCGCGAAAGCGUGGGGAGCAAACAGGAUUAGAUACCCUGGUAGUCCACGCUGUAAACGAUGUGCACUAGGCGUGGGGCACGUACGUGCUCUGUGCCGUAGCCAACGCGAUAAGUGCACCGCCUGGGGAGUAUGCUCGCAAGGGUGAAACUCAAAUGAAUUGACGGGG
rnacentral:rRNA from 1 species